AUCAAUCAUAGGGUACCCCUGCAGAAAUUUCAAACCAAUUUUUGCUAACCCCCUAAGGAAUUCCACAUGUGUCAUUUAUGGGGUUACUCUGGGUGUCAGAAGUUUUCAGGUUCCCCUAGCUAGGAAACUUUCUGAAGGCUCUUGAACCCAGGGUAUUAUCAGCUACCUUGCAGAAAUUCCAAAAUCAAAAUUUGAAGACCAUUAGGAAUUCCACAUCAACUUUAAUAGUACCCCUGAAGAAUUCCACUCACAUUAAUAAUUGGGGUACCCUAAAGAAUCUCAAGCCUUUUCAUCCCUGAAAAAUUCCAAGUUCAAAAUGCUUUACCCUUAAAGAAUUCCAAGCUCAAAACACUGUACCCCUGAAGAAUUCCAAACUCAAAACACUGUACCCCUGAAGAAUUCCAAACUCAAAAUCCUUUACCCCUGAAGAAUUCCAAGCUCAAAACACUGUACCCCUGAAGAAUUCCAAACUCAAAAUCCUUUACCCCUUAAGAAUUCCAAACUCAAAACACUGUAACCCUAAAGAAUUCCAAACUCAAAAUCCUUUACCCCUGAAGAAUUCCAAGCUCAAAACACUGUACCCCUGAAGAAUUCCAAACUCAAAAUCCUUUACCCCUGAAGAAUUCCAAGCUCAAAACACUGUACCCCUGAAGAAUUCCAAACUCAAAAUCCUUUACCCCUGAAGAAUUCCAAGCUCAAAAUCCUUUACCCCUGAAGAAUUCCAAGCUCAAAACACUCUACCCCUGAAGAAUUCCAGGUAUCCUCGACAGGGGGGGUACGGAUAUUAAAUGGAA